rnacentral:rRNA from 1 species
AAAAGCUUUCUUUAAUUGAAUAAUUGAAUUUAAUUUUUUAGUGCAAAAGCAAAAAUAAAAAUUAGGGACAAGAAGACCCUAUGAAUUUUUUAUUAAAUUUUAUAAAACUUUAUAUAAAAUUUAAUUUAAUUGGGGUGAUGGAAAAAGAAUAAAUAUCUUUUUUUUUUAAAAAAAAAUUGGUUCCGUUUUUAGCGAUUAAAUGAAAAAAAUACUCUAGGGAUAACAGCGUAAUAAUUUUGGAUAGUUCAUAUAGAUAAAAUAGUUUGCGACCUCGAUGUUGGAUUAGGAUUCUUUUUUGGUGAAGAAGUUAAAAAAAGAAGUUUGUUCAACUUAUAAUUUCCUACUUGAUCUGAGUUCAGACCGG